UACGUAGGGUGCGAGCGUUAAUCGGAAUUACUGGGCGUAAAGCGUGCGCAGGCGGUUCGUUGUGUCGGCGGUGAAAGCCCCGGGCUUAACCUGGGAACGGCCGUUGAAACUGGCGAACUGGAGUGUGGCAGAGGGGGGUGGAAUUCCGCGUGUAGCAGUGAAGUGCGUAGAGAUGCGGAGGAACACCGAUGGCGAAGGCAGCCCCCUGGGCUAACACUGACGCUCAGGCACGAAAGCGUGGGGAGCAAACGGG
rnacentral:rRNA from 1 species